GGUUAAGCGACUAAGCGUACACGGUGGAUGCCCUGGCAGUCAGAGGCGAUGAAGGACGUGCUAAUCUGCGAUAAGCGUCGGUAAGGUGAUAUGAACCGUUAUAACCGGCGAUUUCCGAAUGGGGAAACCCAGUGUGUUUCGACACACUAUCAUUAACUGAAUCCAUAGGUUAAUGAGGCGAACCGGGGGAACUGAAACAUCUAAGUACCCCGAGGAAAAGAAAUCAACCGAGAUUCCCCCAGUAGCGGCGAGCGAACGGGGAGGAGCCCAGAGCCUGAAUCAGUGUGUGUGUUAGUGGAAGCGUCUGGAAAGGCGCGCGAUACAGGGUGACAGCCCCGUACACAAAAAUGCACAUGCUGUGAGCUCGAUGAGUAGGGCGGGACACGUGGUAUCCUGUCUGAAUAUGGGGGGACCAUCCUCCAAGGCUAAAUACUCCUGACUGACCGAUAGUGAACCAGUACCGUGAGGGAAAGGCGAAAAGAACCCCGGCGAGGGGAGUGAAAAAGAACCUGAAACCGUGUACGUACAAGCAGUGGGAGCACGCUUAGGCGUGUGACUGCGUACCUUUUGUAUAAUGGGUCAGCGACUUAUAUUCUGUAGCAAGGUUAACCGAAUAGGGGAGCCGAAGGGAAACCGAGUCUUAACUGGGCGUUAAGUUGCAGGGUAUAGACCCGAAACCCGGUGAUCUAGCCAUGGGCAGGUUGAAGGUUGGGUAACACUAACUGGAGGACCGAACCGACUAAUGUUGAAAAAUUAGCGGAUGACUUGUGGCUGGGGGUGAAAGGCCAAUCAAACCGGGAGAUAGCUGGUUCUCCCCGAAAGCUAUUUAGGUAGCGCCUCGUGAAUUCAUCUCCGGGGGUAGAGCACUGUUUCGGCAAGGGGGUCAUCCCGACUUACCAACCCGAUGCAAACUGCGAAUACCGGAGAAUGUUAUCACGGGAGACACACGGCGGGUGCUAACGUCCGUCGUGAAGAGGGAAACAACCCAGACCGCCAGCUAAGGUCCCAAAGUCAUGGUUAAGUGGGAAACGAUGUGGGAAGGCCCAGACAGCCAGGAUGUUGGCUUAGAAGCAGCCAUCAUUUAAAGAAAGCGUAAUAGCUCACUGGUCGAGUCGGCCUGCGCGGAAGAUGUAACGGGGCUAAACCAUGCACCGAAGCUGCGGCAGCGACGCUUAUGCGUUGUUGGGUAGGGGAGCGUUCUGUAAGCCUGCGAAGGUGUGCUGUGAGGCACGCUGGAGGUAUCAGAAGUGCGAAUGCUGACAUAAGUAACGAUAAAGCGGGUGAAAAGCCCGCUCGCCGGAAGACCAAGGGUUCCUGUCCAACGUUAAUCGGGGCAGGGUGAGUCGACCCCUAAGGCGAGGCCGAAAGGCGUAGUCGAUGGGAAACAGGUUAAUAUUCCUGUACUUGGUGUUACUGCGAAGGGGGGACGGAGAAGGCUAUGUUGGCCGGGCGACGGUUGUCCCGGUUUAAGCGUGUAGGCUGGUUUUCCAGGCAAAUCCGGAAAAUCAAGGCUGAGGCGUGAUGACGAGGCACUACGGUGCUGAAGCAACAAAUGCCCUGCUUCCAGGAAAAGCCUCUAAGCAUCAGGUAACAUCAAAUCGUACCCCAAACCGACACAGGUGGUCAGGUAGAGAAUACCAAGGCGCUUGAGAGAACUCGGGUGAAGGAACUAGGCAAAAUGGUGCCGUAACUUCGGGAGAAGGCACGCUGAUAUGUAGGUGAAGUCCCUCGCGGAUGGAGCUGAAAUCAGUCGAAGAUACCAGCUGGCUGCAACUGUUUAUUAAAAACACAGCACUGUGCAAACACGAAAGUGGACGUAUACGGUGUGACGCCUGCCCGGUGCCGGAAGGUUAAUUGAUGGGGUUAGCGCAAGCGAAGCUCUUGAUCGAAGCCCCGGUAAACGGCGGCCGUAACUAUAACGGUCCUAAGGUAGCGAAAUUCCUUGUCGGGUAAGUUCCGACCUGCACGAAUGGCGUAAUGAUGGCCAGGCUGUCUCCACCCGAGACUCAGUGAAAUUGAACUCGCUGUGAAGAUGCAGUGUACCCGCGGCAAGACGGAAAGACCCCGUGAACCUUUACUAUAGCUUGACACUGAACAUUGAGCCUUGAUGUGUAGGAUAGGUGGGAGGCUUUGAAGUGUGGACGCCAGUCUGCAUGGAGCCGACCUUGAAAUACCACCCUUUAAUGUUUGAUGUUCUAACGUUGACCCGUGAUCCGGGUUGCGGACAGUGUCUGGUGGGUAGUUUGACUGGGGCGGUCUCCUCCUAAAGAGUAACGGAGGAGCACGAAGGUUGGCUAAUCCUGGUCGGACAUCAGGAGGUUAGUGCAAUGGCAUAAGCCAGCUUGACUGCGAGCGUGACGGCGCGAGCAGGUGCGAAAGCAGGUCAUAGUGAUCCGGUGGUUCUGAAUGGAAGGGCCAUCGCUCAACGGAUAAAAGGUACUCCGGGGAUAACAGGCUGAUACCGCCCAAGAGUUCAUAUCGACGGCGGUGUUUGGCACCUCGAUGUCGGCUCAUCACAUCCUGGGGCUGAAGUAGGUCCCAAGGGUAUGGCUGUUCGCCAUUUAAAGUGGUACGCGAGCUGGGUUUAGAACGUCGUGAGACAGUUCGGUCCCUAUCUGCCGUGGGCGCUGGAGAACUGAGGGGGGCUGCUCCUAGUACGAGAGGACCGGAGUGGACGCAUCACUGGUGUUCGGGUUGUCAUGCCAAUGGCACUGCCCGGUAGCUAAAUGCGGAAGAGAUAAGUGCUGAAAGCAUCUAAGCACGAAACUUGCCCCGAGAUGAGUUCUCCCUGACUCCUUGAGAGUCCUGAAGGAACGUUGAAGACGACGACGUUGAUAGGCCGGGUGUGUAAGCGCAGCGAUGCGUUGAGCUAACCGGUACUAAUGAACCGUGAGGCUUAACCUU
rnacentral:rRNA from 1 species